AGCAGUUGUAGCAGUGGUUACCUCUUCAUUUCCAAUUUUACUGUGCCAAGGAGGAAGGACACUUUCCUUGUGUCCCUGGUUGUUCAAUUGCUGAAGACAUUGAGGGAAAAUUCAUAUAAGAUAUUUUAAGUGGAUCCACAAAGGAUUAUUACAAGUACUCAUUCUACCCAAGAACAAUUUCAGAAUGGAACCAACUUACAAAGAAAGCAGCACUAGCAACCUCUUUUGCAGCAUUUAAGAAUGCAGCUGCAGAUAUUUAUUAACUUGUUGGACAAUUACUAUUUAUUAUUAUUUAUUCUAUUUAUCAAUAUGUUUAUUAUUUAAUCAUUUUAAUAACUAUUUAGCGUGGUCUAAAAUGCUCAGCAUUGAGCGAAUGACCUAACUGGUAAAUGUAAGUGUAAAAUGUAAUUGUAUCACCAUAUUAUGCUUACAUUAUUUUGAUUGGCAGGCUACCAUAUAGAAGAAGACAUUCACAGCAUGCAGGCAAAUUGGUCGUCAUGCAUGUUGCACUGCUUUGCUACACCUCAAGCAAUUCUUCAGUGGCUGAUCAUAUCAUGACCAGUCAUUAUUUUUAUCCUAGGCUGGCUAAUAACUAUGUGAGCUCUUUUACUAUGAGAAUUAUCAUUAAAGGACUAACACCCGUAA